AAGCUUGCUUUUUAAGUUAGCGUUGGACGGGUGAGUAACACGUGGGCAACCUGCCUGUAAGACUGGGAUAACUUCGGGAAACCGGAGCUAAUACCGGAUAAUCCUUUUCUACUCAUGUAGAAAAGCUGAAAGACGGUUUACUCCUGUCACUUACAGAUGGGCCCGCGGCGCAUUAGCUAGUUGGUGAGGUAACGGCUCACCAAGGCGACGAUGCGUAGCCGACCUGAGAGGGUGAUCGGCCACACUGGGACUGAGACACGGCCCAGACUCCUACGGGAGGCAGCAGUAGGGAAUCUUCCGCAAUGGACGAAAGUCUGACGGAGCAACGCCGCGUGAGUGAUGAAGGUUUUCGGAUCGUAAAACUCUGUUGUUAGGGAAGAACAAGUACGAGAGUAACUGCUCGUACCUUGACGGUACCUAACCAGAAAGCCACGGCUAACUACGUGCCAGCAGCCGCGGUAAUACGUAGGUGGCAAGCGUUGUCCGGAAUUAUUGGGCGUAAAGCGCGCGCAGGCGGUCCUUUAAGUCUGAUGUGAAAGCCCACGGCUCAACCGUGGAGGGUCAUUGGAAACUGGGGGACUUGAGUGCAGAAGAGAAGAGUGGAAUUCCACGUGUAGCGGUGAAAUGCGUAGAGAUGUGGAGGAACACCAGUGGCGAAGGCGACUCUUUGGUCUGUAACUGACGCUGAGGCGCGAAAGCGUGGGGAGCAAACAGGAUUAG
rnacentral:rRNA from 1 species